GGCUGUUUGGGUGCGGACCCUUGGCGGCUCUCUUAUGUGAGUAGAGAAAGGGAUACCAUCCAGAGUGUUUGGGUGUGAACACCUCAUCCACCCACCUCCCCUGGGGUGGAGGGCGGUUCUUGAAGCUGUGUCAGCAGGAGUAAGGGUUGUGGGAUCGCUCUUGGGCCACACUUUGCUAACAUACAAUCCAUUCCUGUUGCUUUGCUUAAUUUAUAACCAAAGCUUUUGGUACACUUACAUAUAGCUGCUGUCAUAAUUCAUCAUCAAAACCCAGCACUGACUUCAUCACACAGAUAUCACUAUAUCUGCCACACACUUAGCUCUUGGGUCAUACUGGCUCAGUGAUGCCUUUACAACCUGCUAUGGCCCUAAGUGUCCUUUGGGCUCUGUCCUGAUGGAAAUACCUUUGGAAAAGCAACAACUCUCCCUUUAUGUCCAUGGAGAAAGGCUACAGGACAUGGGGCAGGCAUGGUCAGCCCAUUUUCCUAGGUUGAAAGUCCCUUUCCACCUAGUGGGUACUGGCCUCGGGGCUGGUGGAGCAGUGAGCACGCCAUACAUUAUAUGUGUGACACCUGCCACCCAGCCCAAGGCCCCUAGGCCCACAUGCUUCUGGAGAGGGGUCUGGUUUGGAAGCACCCAAAGAAUGCAGAGGAGACUCGCCCAGCAGUACCUCUGUUUGGCACCUAAGGUAACCUGACUUCCUGAGUUCCUUUCACAGCCAGCCUUGUGCUCUCCUGGCAGACCUCUGGAUGCUGUCGUUCAUCCCUCCAGCCCAGGUACGUGUAGGCCUGGGGGGAGCCUUGAGGGUAGAAUGUUCUCUGGGCACAAAUCUCACCCCCUGUCUCUUUCACAGAGACGCCCGGGCAGGACUGCGGCAGCUGGCCCAAGAGAGGCCCCAAGGGAUGGCGUCCACCUCAAGGUGUUUGUUCAUGGAAGAUCUUAAAUGUUGACCUCUCUUGAGCAUAAAAUCUUUUCUUGACGAUUUCUGCAGCCAGUGUCAAGCUCAGAAAUAUGAUCAGCCCCUUGAUGAUGGUUCCCAAAGAUCUGAACAAAUAGACAAGCACAAAUAUAUGCUGAAAAACACAGCAACGAGCACAUGAUGAAGGGCCUCGUGACUUCAUGAAGGAGUACCAUUCAGGGAAGCAGGGAAGCAGCUGUGGUCCGCUGGUAAGUGAUGGACACUUGUCCAUGUGACUAGCUCUAAGGAGUUUGUGAGGAAUCAUGUUUUCUUCUGUAGCAAGCUACAGAUUCAAGGGAAGGGUCUUGGCUCUUGGUAACUGUCAGGCAUCGUCUGUCCCUCUUGCCUUUGGUGACCCAUCUUUGGGGGAACCCAUGACCUCUUUACUUUUGUGAGCAGCAACUAUUUUCAACUGACCAGACUUUGAGGCCAGUUCUUUGGACAGAUAUUGGAGGGCUGGUCAUAGAAUACAUGUUGUAUGUGUGGGGAAUGUCACCUGGUCCAUUUGUUCUCAACAUUGAGGAUAUGUUGAGGAAGGUUCUGGAGGUGACUGGCUGAGUUGGGGUUCUCAGUGCUUCCUGUUUGCUUCGUGGAGGCAUGUUUUUUUUAAAUCAAAGAUUUGCAGUGUCUAUGUUGGUAUGCCUCUGUGUCUGAUCUACUCAAAGAAGAUUUUCCAGGAAGUUGAGCUAAUGUUGAUAGGACUUGAUAAUGUGGUGAUAGUGAGUCAUGAACAUGAAGAUAUCCUUCGUGUCUGUUUCUAACAGUCUGUCCCACUGAUGUACUGGACCUGCGUGUUGGAGCCUUCCGGACUCGUCCCGCUUCCCAAAAACUUCCUUGAUGUCUUCAGUGUUCCAUGGCAUGUGCAUGGAUGCUCCAGCAGACACUUUGCUGUGACCUUUGCCAUGGGUAGCCAAGAUGGGCUCUAUAUGGAAGUAGAACUGUCUUUGGGAAUCAUGAGGGGAAAAACUCCUUGUCAUGAACUCUUGGGGUUGGGGGUGCUUAGAGUGACUCUCUGUUAGGGCAUGUGACAACCAGGUGAUAUAUUUAGCUAUGAGGUAGGCACUAGGAGUCCAGAUUCUCUUCUGUUGUUAAUGUAGUCAUCUAGGCCAGGGUUCUCCAGAGCUGUUCAGCUUCUGAUAUUCAAAAGGUGAGUGUUCCUUCUAUGCCUCAGGUUAAUCAUAGAGGUAACACCCACAUUUUCAGUAUCUCAAGUUGCCCUGGAAUGUUUCUGAAUGCAAAGUGGCCUAGGGAAAAAGCAAGUUAUCUCCUCUGCCCCCACCCAGGGAUCGAGGGGGGAGAUGGAUCCCACAACCUGUGCUUUCCACAGCAAGGUUGGUCCUGGAAUCUGUCCUCUGUGGGCUGUGCCGAGGGCGCCUGUCAGCUGUCUUCUUCAUUUCUGACCGAUUGGGCCUCGGCUCUUGCUCUUCGGGACUAAACCCUUUUGGUAUUUAAAAGGUGGAUAUUCCUUCUAUGUUUAUGGUAUUUAUGAUUAAACAUAGAGGAAAUUUCACGUUUUCAGUGUCAAAUGCUGCUGGGAAAUGGGCCUGAACUGAAGCCACCAUCAGGGCAGUGACAGUACAGUUGCCCCCUCCAGGGUAAGUGGGAAGCUGGCGAUCCACAGAGCAUGCGCCAGACUCAUAGGUGCCUGAGGGCCAUUGACCAGUCUUGAAGAGAAUCUCUGAUGAGCUGCUGGCUCAGCCAGAGGCCGGGGGUCUCGUUCUAGACUCUAUGGCAGCAUAUCAGUCUUUCCCAUAGUAUGCCCUUGGCUUCAGAUAGGUUGUUCUUAGGUCGCGCUUUCCAAGAGUAAGCCCUGUUUGGUAUGUAAAAGGCAGAUUUUCCUUUUGUGGUUGUGUGCUUGCUGGUUAGUCAGAGAGGGAUAUCCAUGUUUUCAGUCUCAUGUGCCUCUCGGGAGCCAUGAUCCACCAGGGAAACAAGGCUGGGCUCAGCACCCUCCGGGUAAGUGGAAAGGUGGUGGACUGCAGACCAUGUGUGUUUCUCAUAUCAUAUGUCUGCUGGCCAUCACCUUUAAGGGUCUCCUUGCCUGUGGAGCCAGCCUGGCAAAGAGGCGAUGUUGCCUCACUACAGUGACGUCUGGGCGCGGGAAUGAGAGCUUUUCUGUCUUGUGAUCUGUUUCAGAGAAGCCCAUGCACCACAGCUGGUCCUUCCCGGAACUCAGCAUUUCUUUGGUAUUUAAAAGGUGGAUAUUCCUUCUAUGGUUACGUGCUUCCUGGAUAAUCAUAGAGGAACAUCCACUUUUUCAGUAUCAAAUGUCGCU